UCAAAGUUGGAGAUCAUAGAUGUGAUUUAAGGCCAAAUUAAAAGAAAUAUUUAUAAUAUGCCAAAAAGAAUAAAUUGCACAUGAUGUUUAUUAACCCUGAAAAACAAAUACAACCUUGAAAACAUUUUCCUUUAUAUCAACCACACCCUAAAUGUUAAAACUGCAAUAAAACAAGAUGGUUCACUAUACACACAUUAAUAUUCAUCAAAAUAAGGAAGAGUGGGUUAAUUAAAACUGCAAUAAAACAAGAUGGUUCACUAUACAAACACAUUUAAUAUUCACCAAAAUAAGGAAGACUGGGUUAAUUAAAAACUACAAUAACACAAGAUGGUUCACUAUACAAACAUAUAAAUAUUCAUCAAAAUAAGGAAGACUAGGUUAAAAUUAAUUUAAAAAAAUUUGUUAUUUCUAAUUACAUUCAACAUUAUCUUCUUCAUCUGCUAUGAAAACUCUUGAUCUAGAGGUGGAUGGACCAUACAUUUGAAAGCUAAGGUUCAAUAACAUGUACACCAGCUUCGACCUGAAAUAUAGCCAUGUAUCUGAAUAGUAAAAUUUCAACAAAUAUCGAAUUUUGAAUUUCAAAAGUGAAAUUCAUUCGGCGAUAAGAACCUUCAAAACUGAACCCAUCAAUCUUUAAUUCUCGAUCCGCCUCAACAUGAUCAGAUAUCUUUCAAGGCUCAACACAUGCAUGUCUUCCAUCUCGGUCGCUAUGUCCACUUUCCUUUACUGCCUCAACAUGAUCAGAUAUCUUUCAAGGCUCAACACAUGCAUGUCUUCCAUCUCGGUCGCUAUGUCCACUUUCCUUUACUUCCACAACAGUAGCAAAUUUGACAUGUUUUUCAUCAUUAUUACUCUGGUAAGAAUAACCGGUCGAAUUUCUUGUGCAGACAUUCCUAGCUAUUCCAAGAUUUGAUGACGACACUGUGGAUGCUCUGUAGGUGCCUCGCGAAAUUUGUCUUUGAUCGAGUUUGUCAGUACUGCGUGCUAUCACAUUGUUUAAUGCAAGUGUACAUGUACGUGAGGAGCCAAAAGAGAGCCAACCAACGCCAAUGCUACCGGAAGAAACCAUGGCUGAGAAAAAUUCGGAACAAAAAGGUAGAUGAAGAGGUCAGGGAAAAACCCAAAUCCCCGUCCCUAUCUUCCAUUAAUGUUCUAUAACAUCAAUUCAGGAUCUCUGAAUCGAAUUUGAAUCUACGAUCAAUCAAUUAACGUCAAUAGCAAUAAAUUUGAAUUUGAUUCAGUAACUUCAAUCCAUUGGACGACCGUCCUUCCGAUUGGAAGUGAAAACAAAUCCACUUUCCUCUAUAUAUAUGUUGUUUAAUAAUAUUCCUUCCAUGGUCAUCAUUAAAUCCCUCCUCUUUCUGGCCUAUUCUUUCUUUUCUUCUUAUUUAGGGUUGAGAUGGCAAGAGGAAAUCAAGAACUUUAUUAGCGUGGAAAUUCGUUAUGAGAAUUAACGAAAUUACAUGCCUAACCUAAAAUACUAAUGCCAUUUUGUGUCUGGCGGAGAAAAAAUGCUGCUCAUUCAAUAGGGGUCCCGUAACUUCUC
rnacentral:lncRNA from 1 species